rnacentral:rRNA from 1 species
CGCUCAGGCACGAAAGUGCGGGGAUCGAACAGGAUUAGAUACCCUGGUAGUCCGCACAGUAAACGAUGAAUACUUGCUUUUGGCGAUACAAUGUCAGAGGCAAAGCGAAAGCGAUAAGUAUUCCACCUGGGGAGUACGCCGGCAACGGUGAAACUCAAAGGAAUUGACGGGGGCCCGCACAAGCGGAGGAACAUGUGGUUUAAUUCGAUGCUACGCGAGGAACCUUACCCGGGCUUGAAAGUUAGCGACGGCGGAUGAAAGUCUGCUUCCCUUCGGGGCGCGAAACUAGGUGCUGCAUGGUUGUCGUCAGCUCGUGCCGUGAGGUGUCGGCUUAAGUGCCAUAACGAGCGCAACCCUUUUCUCCAGUUGCCAUCAUUCGGUUGGGGACUCUGGAGACACUGCCAUCGUAAGAUGCGAGGAAGGAUGGGAUGACGUCAAAUCAGCACGGCCCUUACGUCCGGGGCGACACACGUGUUACAAUGGGGAGGACAGAAAGCGGCGACACAGCGAUGUGGAGCGAAUCUCGAAACCUUCUCCCAGUUCGGAUCGGAGUCUGCAACCCGACUCCGUGAAGCUGGAUUCGCUAGUAAUCGCGCAUCAG